UGCGCCUGAAGUCUCCAGAUAC
rnacentral:miRNA from 1 species